GAGACCUGUAUCCAUAAUUGCCAGCAGCAGAAUUUCUGGACUGGGCACAUUAUGGGGACUGCCCUGGAAACAGGGAGGAAGGUGCAGGCUACGGUAGGUCUGUAUGCUCCGAAUCUUCUGGGCAACACGCGCGCAACAAUGGUAGAGACAAUGGGAUGCAACUCCGAAAGGAGAAGCUAAUCCUCGAAACUCUAUCCUAGUUCAGAUUGAGGAUUGUAACUCAUCCUCAUGACGUUGGAAUCCCUAGUAAUCAGGUUUUAGCACAGCCCGGUGAAUAU
rnacentral:rRNA from 1 species